AUCUCUUCCCCAUACCUCGGUGUGAGACCGGCCCUCCACAGGCUCUGGCUGUGGAAUUUAACCUGCAUGGAGGCUUCUAGAAACAGUGGUCCAAAGAUGGACAUACCUGAAUUCAGGCAGAAACCGUUUCCUCUGUCACUGGCUUCUUUCCCCACCUCCUAGUUCUGUUUUACAGGUGAGAAUGCUAUUAAUAUCUGCUCUGUGUUAUUCCCCAGCCUCCCUCCUUCCAGAUGAGCCCAGCAUCUCAGCCCAGUACACAUCUAGCCUGAUAGAGUCAGGGGUACAGUAACUGCUAAUCCUGGCCCUGGCUGGACAAUGAUGGAAACCUGGGCACAGCUGACAGGAAAUAAUUAGUUGGUCCAUGUGGAAGGGUCUAAGCCACAGAAGUUUGCAGCAUCCAGAUUGAGUUUUAGGGCUGACAAUGUAGUAAGGUUAGUAAAGUAUUUGUGUCACAUACAUGAUGCCUUGGGUUUCUCUCUAGCACCAGAUAAACAGAGAACAGUGGCACAUGCCUCUAAUCCCAGCACUUGGUAAGCAAAGGAGGGGAGAUCAGAAAUGCAGAGUCAUCCUAGCCUAUAUUCCAAGUUUGAGGCCAGCCUGGAAUACAUGAGACCUUGUAUCAGAAAAUAAAAUAUAAUUGAAAUGUAAAACUAAUUGUGAUAUAGAAUGUUGGGCAUGAUACUACCAGCGAUCUGGUGUGCCUUUUACCUGAUGGCUCAAUCUUACAUAAUUAUAGAACAAUAUCAAAGCCAAGGAUUUGAUGCUGGUAUGAUGUACACAUGUAGUUCCAUGUAGCACAGCCAGGACACAAAACUGUUACAUAUAGUAAAUGUCUCCCUUGCACUAUAGUUGUACAAUCUACCCACCCCUUAUCGUCCCCAUCCCUAACCCCUGACCACCAUGUUGUGUCUUCUAUUUCUAAUUUUGUCAUUUAAAAAAUGUUAUACAAAUAUUCCCUUAAAUUUCUGAGUAAUAAAUAUUUCAUGGUUUGAAUGUUCAACAGUUUGUUUGACCAUUUAACUUUUGAGGGAUAUCUUGGCAGUUUACAGCUUGUGCUAUUACUAUUAUUACUACUAUUACUAUUACAAACUGAUGGGAGGCAUAAACAGAUCAUUACGUGUGCAUGAAUUUCCAUCUCUCUGACUUAAUUCUCCGGGAGAACAUUUGCUGGAUCAUAGGAUAAGUAUAUGUUUGAUUUUCAAAGAAGCUACUAAACUAUUUCCAGAGUGACUGAUGAUCACAUUUUAGGUUUCUCCCAUAUUUGCCAGAAUUUGAUAAAACUUUUAUUUUAAUUAUUUUAGCAGCUGUGUAAUGACACCGCAGUGUGGUUUUAAUUUGCAUUUCCCUAAUGACCAAUGAUGUUGAAUAUGUUUUUAUGUAUUUACGAUAAGUCCUUCACAUCUUUUGCCUAUUUUCUAAUGGGAUUGUUUUCUUUUUAGGAUUUUUAUUUUUUAUGUAUAUGGGUGCUUUGUUUGCCUGUGAACCAUGUGCAUGUCUGGUACCUAAGGAGCCAUAAGAGGGUGUCAGAUACCUUGUCAGAUAACUGGGGUUACCAAUGGCUGUGAGCUGUCGUAUGAUGCUAGGAAUCAAACCCAGGUCCUCUAGAAAAGCAGCCAGCUUGUGUGUUCAUAUGUUUGUUUGUUUGCUUGUGUGUUUUUAGGCAGGGUCUCUAUAAAUAGCCUUGGCUGCCCUGAAAUCCACUCUGUAAACCAGGCUGUCCUGGAACUCACAGAGAUCUACCUGCAACUGCCUCCCAAGUGCUGAGAUAAAAGGCGUGUGCCACCACGCUGGGUUAAGAGCAACUAGUGCUUUUAACUGAGCACCUCUGAUUCUUCUCUUAAAGCAGUUUGCAAAUUGUUUUGUCUGAGAUAAAGUCUUACCGUGUAGCCCUGGCUGGCCUUGAACUUGCUGUAUAGCCCAAGUGGACCUCAAAAUCAGCUGCUGCCUUGGUCUCGGGAGUGCGCUGGGGCUAUGGGCAUGUUCCAGCUCCAAGUUCUUUGUGCAGUAUCCUUCAGAGCACUGUCAGUUGUGGAUUCCAAGGCCAUCAUUGCUUCCACAUGGACAUCAGCCCAAUCUUUCAUUACUCAGCACAGCCACACCUUCCCCGUAGCACAGUGCAGAUGGUUUUUCUGACUCUCUGCUUCCUCAGCCAUUUCCUGACCCCCAGAAUCAGCCUAGAUUUUGUGUCUAAGCUUCUUCUUGACCUCAGGAUAUGUUGUGGACUGCAUGAAAGGUUUAGAAAUUAGACAUCUUUCCCUGGACCCACAUGUAUUGUGAAAAUAUAGAAGCUAGGUAGUUGCUGUGCAUUCCCCACCCUCACCCCUGCCUCUAGUGUACCAACCAGUGUGAUGUGUCUCUUAUCCUGAACAAAUGGGAAAGUCGGUGUGGUAGUCUGAAUGAAAAUGGCAUCUAUAAGCUCAUUUAUUAUUUGAAUACUCAGUCCCAAGUUGGUGGAACUAUUUGGGAAGGAUUAGGAAGUGUGGCCAUAUUGGAGGAGGUGUGUCCCUGGGGGUGGGCUUUGAGGUUUCAAAGGCCCAUGCCAUUUCCCGUUAGCUCCCUCUGCCUCAUUUUUAUGGCUAGGCAUGUAAGCUUUCAGCUACUGUUCCUGUACCAUGCCUGCCUGCCUGAUGCUGUACUCCUUACAUCAAGGCCAUGGACUCACGCUCUGGGUGGGGCUGUAAGCCCUCACAAGCUGUUUCUUUUUCAAGUUGUCUUGGUCAUGUUGCCUUAUCACAUAUU
rnacentral:lncRNA from 1 species